UACGUAGGGUGCAAGCGUUGUCCGGAUUUAUUGGGCGUAAAGAGCUCGUAGGCGGUCUGUCGCGUCGGAUGUGAAAACCCAGGGCUCAACCCUGGGCCUGCAUUCGAUACGGGCAGACUAGAGUACGGCAGGGGAGACUGGAAUUCCUGGUGUAGCGGUGAAAUGCGCAGAUAUCAGGAGGAACACCGGUGGCGAAGGCGGGUCUCUGAGCCGUAACUGACGCUGAGGAGCGAAAGCGUGGGGAGCGAACAGG
rnacentral:rRNA from 1 species